rnacentral:rRNA from 1 species
UACGUAGGUGGCAAGCGUUGUCCGGAUUUACUGGGCGUAAAGAGCGCGCAGGCGGUCGUUUAAGUCGAAUGUGAAAGCCCCCGGCUCAACUGGGGAGGGUCAUUCGAUACUGAUCGACUUGAAGGCAGGAGAGGGAAGUGGAAUUCCGGGUGUAGUGGUGAAAUGCGCAGAUAUCAGGAAGAACACCCGUGGCGAAGGCGGCUCUCUGGGACGGUACUGACGCUGAGACGCGAAAGCGUGGGGAGCGAACAGG